UUUUCUUUCAACAAUGCAGUAACCCACCACAAGAGGCCCAUUCAAAACUUGACCCAGCCCACUCUUCAAAUUACCCCAGCCUAGCACCACACCUCCAUUCCUUUCGACCCGGCCCAUUCCCUUAUAUUUUCCCCUUCAGCAUAACAACACCAACCCUCAACAGACGCGACAACACCGCAAAAACCUUAACCCGCUGACCCAUUUUCAACACGAACCAACCUUACCUGCGACCCUAAACCCGAUUCUCACAACCAACAACCCGUAACCAACCCGUUUGUAGCCUCCUUCACGCAUCCCACGCAAGUUCAUGCGAAGAAAACCCUCGAAUCUUCUACAAAUAAGUCGAGGUGUCCUCUCAACGUAUCAAUUACGCGAAUCUCAGGUAUGGGAGUACGAUUUCGUACAUGUAUGUCACAAUUUUAUUGGCUCAUGGUGAAAAUCCAUUUUGCCUAAAUCUUAUUGGUCCACCGAUUUAGAAAUCGGUACAAUUUGUUGGGGGAAUGUGAUUGGGAGUUAAAAAAUUUUGAAUUCUCUUUGGAAAGGGAAUCCCUAAAUUACCCUCAAUUGGCUUCUAUAUAAAGAGCUCACUGUUGAGCUAAAAAGGGGGAUUUUUUUGGCUUCUUCCUUUUUGGAUUCGGGGAAAAUCGAGGGAUUUUCUCUUCUUUCUAGGAUGGGGGUUCUGGGGUUUGAAUUUUUGGAUGGUCUUUUGAGGGUUCAAAAUUGGGAAGAUUUUUUUUUGGGGGACUGGCCUCUCCUUUCUAGGUUCAAAAUCUCGGAAGCAAAGGGAUUCGAAAGUCGAGGGGGUUGAGAAAAUUUGGAUUGGGGGAGUUCUUAGAAAAACUAGGUCCAAGGAGGGGGGAAAAAGUGAUCCAUUCUGAGCAAAAUCGAUAAAUCCUUCCAUUUUAGUAAAAGUUUGAAGCUCGUCGGAAUUGUUCAAAGUAGCUGCUAGGCCUUUCUCCGGUGGAGAUGAAUCCGGUGAUAGCUCUAGUCCUAUUUUGCUGCUCCCUAAAAGGUAAUACCCUUUUCCAUUUAAGCUUCAUCUGUUUCUGCUUCAUCUCAAUCUUCUAUAAUCGUGAAUAAAUAUUUUAGUAUGAUUUUAUGCUGGAUUGUUUGCUGGUAGAUGGCUUUGAUAGUCGUAGGUAGUUGUUUUGGUAGAUUUUCGAUUUAAUACUCUCAUUUUUUGUUAAAUGCUUAAGGUUUGUAUAGCUGACUUUAUGUUAAAGUUUCAUGUUCUGCGAUUCUGUUUGAGUUGUUGGUAUUUUAUUAAUGUUGGUUUUGUCGUUUAAAGUUUCAUGCUUUUGAUUUUGGUUUGAGUUACUGGUAUCCGGUUAAGGCUACUUUCGUGGCUAAAGUUUGAUUCUGUUUGGUCGUUUCGGGCUGCUUGUAUGUUGUCAUGGUUGGCUUCAGGGUUUAAUGUUGCGUGAUUUGAUCGUUUUGGGUCGAUGGCGCCCUGCUCUAGCUUGUCUUAUUUUAAAGUUUCGUGUUUUAUUCUUGUUUUGAUAGUUUUUGGGCCGAGGGUGUUUUGUUCAUUGUUGGUAUUUAACAUCGUCUUGUUUUCGAGAUUUCCCCAUGAGUUCUUUGGCUUCCCAAAUGACAAAGAAUGAUGAGGAUACGCUCGACAAAAACUGACAAAUCCCGUGAUUCCUCGAUAACCAUUUCGGCUAUUAGAACUCCUUUGAGUUUGACAAAAGAGGAUGAGGAUGAUAGUAGUGCCCCACCACUUUCCCUUUAGCUUUAUCUACCAUGUCUUUUUUUUGUGUGGAUUCGAAUCUUUUAUCCUUCCUUGUCUCUUGAUCUUGUUGCCAGUACAUAAUUGGGUUAGGAAGAUGAAUGCAAUAAUGAGGUAUCUUAGUAUGUUUAUUUAGAAGGAAUGGCCUUAUUUUGUACUCCUCGUGGAAAUGGAGCGUCACUGUUGUAUCUCUCUUUUAAUACCUACUGUCAAUGGAACUUGGAUUUAUAGGUCAAUUUCGCUUCUUUUCUGUGUUUCAAUUAGUCUCUUGACUAGAUCGUGGGGUUACGUUUAGGUAUGAAGUUCUCAAAACAGCUUGCAAACAGUUUUCUCCUGUCCCAUAUAACAUGACAGUAUCAUAUAGUGUGGUAUAGAUUGGUUUAUUUGAAGCGUAUGACUGCAUUUCGAUUUUAGUGUUGGAAAUUAAUAGUGUUCUUGAUUUAAGUGAGACCCUCUUUGCUUUUGUUGAUUGGAUUGUCCUGUAUACUGUACAACAUACAAGAAAAGAGGUGAAACGAACUUAUCUUGGUUCAUCUGUAGCAUAAAUUUAAGUAUCUAUUUUUUGGGAAUUAUCUUCAGCUCUUCAGUUUUGUAUUCCAGUUGAGUGUUUUGAUAGCCAACUGAUAAAAUUUUCUUAGUUUCUGUGUAUUCCUUCUCAUAAGUAAGCACCGGAACCUAUCGUUUUGUCAAAAGGAAUGGAUUGCUAUUUACUAUUAAUGUACGGUCCUUUAACAAAUGUUAUAGCAUCCCUCUACUUCAACAAACAAUACCAACACCUUGAUAGCCCUUCAUAGCCCCAUCUUCUCACCUUAUCAUCCACUGCAAUCUUAAAUUUCCAAAGCCUCCACAUAAGAAGAGCUACUUUUAAAGGAAAGCCUUUUACCUAGUUCUUCUUGUAUAUAGAGUUAAGUUGGCCGUUAUGUCUGAUGUACUCCCAUUUCAAAUUUAACUGAGAAUCACCCCUUCAAAUCGAAAAUCCAUCUUGGUUCAUCCAUCACAAAAUUUUUUUUGGAGGUUUAAUGUUCACUUCAAAAAUGGGCCAAUGAGGCCUAUCCUUCCAAGUCAAGCCCGAAUGAAAGCCCAAAGUUGAGCACGUGGCAUGUGGAUACGAGAAGUCGAAAGAGGAAUAAUGGAUUAAAAUCUCAUCUUUGAAGCGGCCAAGGGAUUAGAACAUUUCUUUUCUUUUAUUCGUUUAUUUAUUUUGUAGUCUUUUAUUUAUUUGUUUAUUUAUUUAUUCCUUUAUUUCAUUUGGGCCUCGAAGCCAAAGUUGUAAAUUUAAUGCAAGUGGAGCGAGAUUCGAGCCAAAGGCUCGAAAACUAGACUAAGACGUGUGAAAUGGGUUGAAAACUCAACUAGAUUAGGUCAGGGCCGAUGGUUUGGGCUUGAAAGCCUAAAUCAAUACUUCCCCGCUUUUCUCCCCUUUUCCUUUCGUUUACUUAUUUACAUGUUUCUUUGCGAACUUAGUUAAAAUCCCUAACUAAGUCGCCUAAAAAUUGGUUUUGCAUAAACACUAAAAUAUCACUAAAAUUGCUUUUCUUUGCAGAAAUCAACUUUUUUCCAAAGUUAGUCAAAGACGAUUUUCAAACUAUCCGGAUAACUGCAAGUUAGCGGACGUUUACGUUAUUAGGAACAGCUAAUAUAGAAUCUCUAACUUAAAACGAUUUUCCUGUUUUGAAUCGUUUGAAAUAACCUUUAUAAAGGUUUCUUAAUUCUUUUUAAAAUUAUGUGGCGAUUCUCUUUCAAAAGUCAAAAUUUCUCAACAAUAGUACCAAAUCUUUACUUUAUUAGUAGUAGAACAUUACUAUUAUUACUAUUAUUUCAUUUCUAUUCUAUUUAUCAUUAUAUUAAUUUUUACUUAAUAUAUAAGUGAAGGUUGUGGUGACUAUUAAAGGUAUUUUGGUAAUUUUAGUCACCACAACCUUCACUUCUAUAUAAUAGUAAAUAAAAUGAUUACACAUGCAUAUGAUUUUUCUUAUAUUUAUUAGUUUUAUCCUCAUUUUUAUGGUGCAAUAAAAUAGUUACAUAUGCAUAUCAUUUUCUUCUUAUAUUUAUUAGUUUAAUUUUGUC
rnacentral:lncRNA from 1 species